rnacentral:rRNA from 1 species
AUUGAACGCUGGCGGCAUGCCUUACACAUGCAAGUCGAACGGCAGCACGGGGGCAACCCUGGUGGCGAGUGGCGAACGGGUGAGUAAUACAUCGGAACGUGUCCUGUAGUGGGGGAUAGCCCGGCGAAAGCCGGAUUAAUACCGCAUACGCUCUACGGAGGAAAGGGGGGGAUCUUAGGACCUCCCGCUACUGGGGCGGCCGAUGGCAGAUUAGCUAGUUGGUGGGGUAAAGGCCUACCAAGGCGACGAUCUGUAGCUGGUCUGAGAGGACGACCAGCCACACUGGAACUGAGACACGGCCCAGACUCCUACGGGAGGCAGCAGUGGGGAAUUUUGGACAAUGGGGGCAACCCUGAUCCAGCAAUGCCGCGUGUGUGAAGAAGGCCUUCGGGUUGUAAAGCACUUUUGUCCGGAAAGAAAACGCCGUGGUUAAUACCCGUAGCGGAUGACGGUACCGGAAGAAUAAGCACCGGCUAACUACGUG